rnacentral:lncRNA from 1 species
AGCAACAAAAAGUACAUCCACAUUGUAUAUUUUUAGUUCGUUUCAUUUCAAUCUGACUAUUGAUGUAACUAAAAAUGUAAUCAAUUUGUAUUCUGUCUUGAAAUAUCUUGAGUCAAAUUGUAUAGAUUGUUGAGAUAUAUGUAAGGCAAUGAUGAUAAAACCCACACUUAGACCAUUAUGAGUCGAUGAGGGAGUCACAUCUGAGCCUAUUAGGCUAUUUCUGUAAUUAGGCUAUUUCUGUAAUGGGUUAUUUUGUAUAUAUGCUGAAGGGUCGUUUGUACAAAGACUAAGGGGUCAUUUUUCUGAAAUAAUAUCUGAGUCUCUUCUUCGAGACUCUUCCGAUGCUCUUCCUUCUCUCUACUUUCUCUC